AAUGAAGUGCCUGAAAAAAAGGAUUAUUUUGAUAGAAUAAAAAAUGUAACUUAUUACCUUCAUUA
rnacentral:tRNA from 1 species